AUUCAGAGCACGUGCGUGUAUAAUGAGAAAGACUUUCCAACAGUAAGUAGAAAAAUGAAAUUAAUGCCAAGUAUAGGUUUACAUUCAAAAGUAUGUUUUUUGUAUAUAAAGUCAGGUUAUAAGCAGUGUAGGCAUACAUAUCAGAACUAAACAAGAAGAGAAGAGUAACCACAAAUGACGAUGUAAUUUUUGUAAACGUUUUGUUAAUAUCAGGAAAGUUUCUAUAUUCAGCAUAAACAUUUGUAUAUUGGGCAUAGCUGAUUUAGUAUUUACAAGCAUAUUCUUUAUAUUGAUAAUUAGAGCAAUCAAUAAUCGCAACAACUAACGGGGAAGCUGCUCGUGGCCGUGAAGAUACAGCUGUUUACCCGAAAAAUCACUAGAACCUCAGGACAAAGUCAUGGACAAUUCUCAACAAUGUAAAUAAGUAGACAGCAAGAAAGUUGAUACAUAGGGCAUUGCAAUCAAGCAGCCACUACUACGGGACGUGGAUUAAAGUUACUCACAAUAUAAUCCUCCCUCAACAGUUACUUCCAGAAAAAGAGCAUCUGACAAUAAUGCUGGUGCAGCGCAAACCGAAUAAUAACUAUGUACUCGGAUAAAUAAAUAAAUGCUGAUUCCUUCC